GAGAGUAAUGAUAUAAGUGGAUUAACACAUCAUAAAUUCAAAAACCCAUAGCAAUAGAGAGUAUACUACAAGGUUUCCAUAACCCUAACAAAUAAACUUAGCUACUCAUGAAUAAAACGGAAAUCACAAUAGAAAUAUUCAUCAUACCAAAACUUAGAACGAUCUUGGUGGAGAAGAUGAAUAGCGAAAAUAAGAGAGAAAAACGUUUCUCUCUCUCUCUCCUCAAGCUAAGCCGCUUUCUCUUGUUUUCAAAAUAAUA
rnacentral:lncRNA from 1 species